rnacentral:rRNA from 1 species
GACGUAGGGCGCGAGCGUUGUCCGGAUUUAUUGGGCGUAAAGAGCUCGUAGGCGGCUUGUUGCGUCAGCUGUGAAAACCCGCAGCUCAACUGUGGCUGCAGCUGAUACGGGCAGGCGUUGGAGUUCGGUGAGGGGAGGACUGGAAGUUCCUGGUGUGAGCGGUGGAAAUGACGCAGAUAUCAGGAGGAACACCGGUGGCGAAGGCGGGUCUCUGGGCCGAUACUGACGCUGAGGAGCGAAAGCGUGGGGAGCGAACAGG